rnacentral:rRNA from 1 species
UACGUAGGGUGCAAGCGUUGUCCGGAUUUACUGGGCGUAAAGCGUGCGCAGGCGGCGCGUUAAGACAGGUGUGAAAGCCCCGAGCUUAACUUGGGAAUUGCGCUUGUGACUGGCGUGCUGGAGUGUGGCAGAGGGAGGUGGAAUUCCACGUGUAGCAGUGAAAUGCGUAGAGAUGUGGAGGAACACCGAUGGCGAAGGCAGCCUCCUGGGCCAGCACUGACGCUCAUGCACGAAAGCGUGGGGAGCAAACAGG